GGCGUGGUAGCUCGUAGCUCAGUUGGUAGAGCAACGGAUUGAAGCUCCGUGUGUCGGCAGUUCGACUCUGUCUCACGCCA
rnacentral:tRNA from 1 species